AAAUUUAUUCUCGCCCAAACUCCAGGAGUUCAUUUGUGAGAUAUUUUAUGCUACUAUUCUUUCAGUGAUUCAUUUACCUUUAGUAAUAUUUGUAUUCAGAACUGUGCUGUUUAUAGCCAAUGGCACAGUGCUUGGCUGAAUUAUCUUUUUCUUUCACAGCAUAACAGAGACAAGCACAGUCAAAUUGAGGAUGGUCUUCAGGACACUGUUGGAAUCAGACUGUCUGGCGAACACAUUCAGAGCGGUUUCUCAAACCACAUGAAAUGUUCUGACUGCAACAUGCCUAUCGGGUCAUUAACAAGCGUCCUAGAAUGUGCUGUGCAUAUUUAAGCGAUUAGGCUCAUGCAUGAUGAGCAUGUUUCCAAUGUUGCUUUAGCUUUUAUCAAUUAUGCAGCACAAGACAGAUGCAUGUCUUCACCUUUGGUUUUUGUGUACCACUGCAGUGCACUUCCUUUUAGAGCAGUGUUUAUGUCUUUUUGCUUAGCUUAAACCUGAGGCUAGGGCAGGUUGUCCUAAUCUAGACAACCUGAAGGAUUUUAUCUAAGCCAAUCCAAAUUUGGCUCGACAAAUUUCUAGAGAAGUUAGUUUCACCCAGGACUCAGAUGUGCCAGGUUACUCCAUCACGGUGUUGGGUCAGUUGGUAGUAAUCCCAAUUGCCCUUUUCCUCACCCGACUGGAAUCUGUGUUCAGAAACUGCCGAGCAUUGAGAUUCUUGAGUCCUCAACCCAAAGAGGAGCUGAGUGUGAAACCAAUCAUGUGAGUCCAGGCAUCUCAAAGGUACCAACAGGAAGCCCCUCCACUAGAGGGUGUCCUAGGAAGUGCCAGAGAAGAACUCAAGUCAACCACCAAAUCCACACAUGUGUCCCCAUCACACAGAGAAUGCCAGAGAUUUCAGAGGAGGUUGAUCAUAAACGCUGCAUGUUUACUUAACCUACUAAAUAUAGCUUUGAAGUUAGAAAGCCUACAGGAUAGUUAGGGCUGUUACUGGGAAGAUAAGGCAAACACAUAAUAUACUGCUUUAUAUUGCUAGUUAUAGCAUAGGUGCUCAAUCAGGUGGUAGAGACACUAAGUGUGAUAAGAGCUUGGUAAGCAGGGGAAAUCCUUUGAGCUGGAUGCUGAACAAAGGCUUCAGGGGCUUAGACUGAGUCUUAAUGAAAAGAGAGAAUUCCUUCAGUAGGCAUGAAGUUACAAAGAAAGGGGGACUACAGGCUGAAAGUCAGUAUUUUUAAAGGGUCAGAAGUAUAAACGAUGCUGCUGCUGCUGCUAAGUCGUUUCAGUGGUGUCCGACUCUGUGCGACCACAUAGACGGCAGCCCACCAGAUUCUGCUGUCCCUGGGAUUCUCCAGGCAAGAACACUGGAGCGGAUUGCCAUUUCCUUCUCCAGUGUAUGAAAGUGAAAAGUGAAAGUGAAGUCGCUCAGCCGUGUCCAACUCUCCAGGACCCCAUGGACUGCAACCUACCAGGCUCCUCCACCCAUGGGAUUUUCCAGACCAUAGAAAUGAUGUUUGACAAAAAGCAAAUUCGAGCAGUUUUCUAAACCAAAUUCAAAAUGGGUCAUAAAGCAGCAGAGACAACUCUCAACAUCAACAAACAUUUGGCCCAGGAACUGCUAAUGAAUGUACAGUGCAGUGAUGGUUCAAGAAGUUUUGCAAAGGAGACGAGAGCCUUGAAGAUAAGCAGCACAGUGGCCAGCCAUCAGAAGUUGACAAUGACCAACUGAGAAGAUCAUCAAAGAUUAACCUCUUACAACUACACAAGAAGUCGCCAAAGAACUUAAUGUCAACCAUUCUAUGUUGUUUGGCAUUUGAAGUAAACCAGAAAGGUGAAAAAGUUUGAUAAGUGGGUGUCUAAUGGGCUGACCACAAAUAAAAAAAAAUUGUUGUUCUGAAGUGUUGUCUUAUUCUAUGCAACCUCAACAAACCAUUUCCCAAUUGGAUUGUGACAUACAACAAAAAGUGGAUUUUAUACAACAACUGGCAAGGACCAACUCAGUGGUAUGACUGAGAAGAAGCUCCAAAGCACUUCCCAAAGCCAAAUUUGCACAAAAAAAUGGGGCCAUGGUCACUGUUUCAUGAUCUGCUCCCACUCUGAUCCACUAUAGCUUUUUGAAUCCCAACAAAACCAUGACAUCUGAGAAGUAUGCUCAGCAAAUCGAUGAGAUGCACCAAAAACUACAAUGUCUGCAGCCAGCAUUGGUCAACAGAAAGGGCCCAAUUCUUCUCCACAACAAUACCCAAACACACAUCACACAACCAACGCUUCCAAAGUUGAACAAGUUGGUCUACAAAGUUCUGCCUCAUCUACCAUAUUCACCUGACCUCUCCCCAACUGAAGCAUCUUGACAACUUUUUGCAGGGAAAAUGCUUCCACAACCAGCAGGAGACAGAGAAUGCUUUCCAAGAGUUUGUCGAAUCCUGAAGCGCAGAUUUUUACGCUACAGGAGUAAACAAACUUAUUUCUCAUUGGCAAACAUGUGUUGAUUGAAAUGGCUCCUGUUUUGAUUAAUAAAGAUGUGUCUUAGUCUAGUUAUAAUGAUUUAAAAUUCAGACUGAAACCAUAAUUACUUCGGCACCAAUCUAAUAGUGGAAAGGUCCAAAGAAAGAGAAUUCAAGGCCAGGCACAUCUCUGGGAUUUUAGGGGGAAACAAAAAGAGGCCACUGAAUUCCAGCACACUAGCUGAAAAUACACAGGGCAAGGCAACUAAGAAAACCCCAAAUCCACAGCGCUGUUUUUUUCGAACCCCACUGUGCGUAAAGCAUUUUGUAAAGCCUCUGAAAACCCACUAUUACUCCAAUCUGUCCUAAAUAAAUAUAUUCAUUAAAAUGGGGUAAAAGUUCAAACCUCAAAUUUCCUCAGAAGUGACCUGUACAAACUACAGACUUAAACACACAAUGUUAGAGGAGAGAAGAGGAGUGGGUCUUUGACAUUUAGGAAAAUUACUGUUUUGCAAUAAAACCUCACAUUUAAAGUACUUGAAAAGACAAAUGAGCAAUUGGAAAGAAUCAGCAUCAAUACUAAAGAGAAUUAAGCCUAAACGUCCAAAUCAAAUACAUGUUCACACAGCCCUCUGGAAUAGCUACAUCAAUUCACAUGUUGGAUGUAUAUACUACUGGACUCCACGGUGAUGCUAUCAUGGCAACAGCUAUAAUAAUGGCCUAUAGGCAGUAAUUCAUGUAGUAGCUAAAGAGAUGAAAGGUGGGACGCAAACAAAAGUAUUUUAGAGUUACAAUAAAAGAAAAGCACAUUGCACUUCCAGCUCAAGGGGAAUGUUGAAUCAAACUUCAUUUUUAAGGCACCUUUGAGGCACAGUGUUGCACUGUUCAAGGGUGUUUAACAGACCACGUGGACCAGUCAGUUUGUUCUUCACAGUAGGCUCCUAUCACCAGAUGCAGAUAGAAGUAUUGCUCCAAGUAGGCCAGUCUGUCUAUAAUACCAGAUAUUUAUGAGUUUGUAAGAAGCCAAGGCUGCCUAAGAGAUUUUCCAAAAGACCCCGGGUAUACAAUCAGAAACUAAAGGUGGUAUAUAUAUAUAUAGCAAGGGACUCAGACCACAGCUGAAUUUCUUUCAUCUUUGGUAAUCUUCCCAUCAGAUGGUGACUACCACAGAUAUUUCACUGUGAAAUUCACAUUUCUAU